AUUUUUGGAAAAAAACCCGCCCCACAACUCUUUCUCUCUCUCUUAACCCUCUUCUGCUCUCCUCUCCUCUCAUCUCAACCCUAACUCCUACCACUCUCUCCCUUCUCAUCAAGAAAUUUUGAGAUCUACUCCCACUCUCGAAGAUUAUCGCUCAAUUUUAAGAAAUACGACAAAUUGAAAACGAAAUUCAAAGACUUUGAGGAUCGGCAGACGCGACCACCGCUGCAAAGUUGUUCGUGUGAAUUGAGAUCCAAGGUUGAAAGAAAUGAUCUUUGAUCAUUUGCAUGCAAGACCUUUCCAGUACACUCCUCUAGGGAGAACCAUUGUUGGACCUCUUGAGAAUGUCAAGACUAUCAUUAAAACUCAUCUCUAUAAUGGUCAUUGCCGCCUCUGGAAUUGUUAAACACGCGGAUGUUGUAGCGCUUGUAGAAACUUUUUUUUACAAAGUUUUCAACAGAUCCAACCACCGUUGCUCAAUUAGUUGUCCAGGAACCAACCUCAUUCACUGGUUCGGAGGUUAGAAUGAUUGAUGAUGAUAUUGAGUUGGCUCACUUUACUGUUCCCUUUAAUGGAACAUCAUACACAGAUUCGAUGAUUUCGCCUUGAUGGCUAUGCAGCCAAUGUUGAGCUUUCGGACCAAAAAGGCUGGUGGUGGAAAACAUACGGGAUUGAUGAAACUGUCAAGUCAUUUCUUCAUGGUCAAAGGAAAUGCCUCGUGCAGCUACGAAGAUGACCAAGUGGUUCAACACCAACAGUUAUGGAGAAUCUUAUCAAUUUUGACAAUGCAUACUACAAAAUACUCCUUGAGAUAGAAUAAACGAUGCACUCGCUUUAGCUACAACUGAUAUCGGAAUUUCAUUUGGACUGUCAGGUUUUGCACUCGCAAUGGAUACAGGACACUAAUUCUAAAAGUCCAACGACCAUCAGAAAGAUACCAGAAGCCAUUCAGAUAUAUCCUAGAAAGCCUCUAGGACAAUUGUCGAAAAUGUAAUCAUAUCAUUCUCUACUAGUUCUAGAAUUAGCCCUUGUUGGCUAUGCUGUCAUUUGCCAGAUGAUGCCUGCUAGUAAUACUGGCAUGCUGCUUCUCCGGGGAACUAAAGAAUCCAAGAAGACAAUUGUUAUGAAUAAGGCCUGUUGUGAUAAAACUGUUAAGGAAGAAGUCAAGUGUCGUAGUUCAGUUAGCAAAAGAAUGAUGCAGUCGAGUAUUACAGAAAAGUCGAAAGAAGGGUUUAGGCAUUAGUUAUUUUUGGAUUGGUUUUAGGCUUUAGUUAUUUUUGUAUAGGAUUUAAGCUUUAGUUAGUACGGAAUAACUACUAUUUGUAUUUAUGAUGGUGUUGACAACAUUUCUUAUUUAGGGAUGUUAAAGGUAUAAUGUUUAAGAAGUUUUAUAAAAAUUUUGCACGUGCAGUUGCUUUUA